rnacentral:rRNA from 2 species
UGGGGAAUAUUGGGCAAUGGGGGGAACCCUGACCCAGCAACGCCGCGUGAGGGAAGAAGGUCUUCGGAUUGUAAACCUCUGUCCUUGGGGACGAAGAAAGUGACGGUACCCGAGGAGGAAGCUCCGGCUAACUACGUGCCAGCAGCCGCGGUAAUACGUAGGGAGCAAGCGUUGUCCGGAAUUACUGGGCGUAAAGGGUGCGUAGGCGGUUUGUUAAGUCAGAUGUGAAAUACCCGGGCUCAACCUGGGGGGUGCAUCUGAAACUGGCAGACUUGAGUGCAGGAGAGGAAAGCGGAAUUCCUAGUGUAGCGGUGAAAUGCGUAGAUAUUAGGAGGAACACCAGUGGCGAAGGCGGCUUUCUGGACUGUAACUGACGCUGAUGCACGAAAGCGUGGGGAGCAAACAGG